rnacentral:tRNA from 1 species
GGCUUGAUGGUCUAGUGGUAUGAUUCGCGCUUAGGGUAAACCCUGGGUUGAUUGCGCGAGGUCCCGGGUUCGACUCCCGGUUAAGCCC